UAGCCGUAAACGAUACUCGCUAGGUGUCGGCCACGGUGCGACCGUUGUCGGUGCCGUGGGAAGCCGUGAAGCGAGCCACCUGGGAAGUACGGCCGCAAGGCUGAAACUUAAAGGAAUUGGCGGGGGAGCACCACAACGGGUGGAGCUUGCGGUUUAAUUGGAUUCAACGCCGGAAAUCUUACCGGGACCGACAGCAACAUGAAGGCCAGGCUGAAGACUUUGCCGGAUUAGCUGAGAGGUGGUGCAUGGCGUAGACGUCU
rnacentral:rRNA from 1 species